GAAAUGCGAUAAGUAAUGCGAAUUGCAGAACUCAGUGAAUCAUCAAAUCUUUGAACGCAUCUUGCGCUUCCGGGACCUCCUGGGAGCAUGCUUGUCUCAGUGUCGGUUUAUCAUUUCUCAAUCCUUUAACUUCGGUUGAGGUUGAGGAUGAUUGGAUCUUGUUAUUCUUUGUAUGAAGAGCAGCAUGAUCUGAAGUAGUCAAGAAGAGAUGGUGUUUAGACUAGAGUGAGUGUCAACUGCUUUAGACUAAUAAGCCAUUUCAGUGUGGUAAGUUGUGAAUCAGUACCCCUGUUAUGGUAGUCUAUAGUACUCUGUUGCCUCACAUUCAUCUAAUCUAGCUCUCAUCUCUGUGAUGCUUGAGUGUAUCAACACAAACCAUUACAACCCUUUGACUUUCGACCUGAGAUCAAGUAAGAGGACCCGCUGGAUUUAA
rnacentral:misc_RNA from 1 species